AUAUUGCCACGUCACCAGAUAUACGAAGCAUCCCGUGUAUCUUACCACGCCAAAGCUAAUAUCUGUCAUUCAAGAUCGUGUGAUCAAUUUUCAGAUAAAGUGAACCAUAUCCGAAGGAUUAAUUCAGAAGUGAUCGAGCGGUCCACAAGAUCCAGGUGCACCGGCUUACCAUGCUAGCGUCCUCACCGUAGCAAACCUUAGAAACUCUCUCUCCUCCCGUCUGCAAUUCUUUCUCUCCUCCGAUCUCACAACUCCAGCCACAUCAAGCUGUCGGAACACCACAGAAAGACUCAUAUCCUCCUCGAGAGCAAACCCCAAGUGGUUUUUAUCGAAUUCUCCGCCUCAUAUUACCGAGAAAAGGUCGCGAUGUCUUCGGCCACUCGAAAUUUCAAACCGUCGAUUCUCUCUCAUUAGACAUCAAUGGCAGCCGCCACCACCAUUAUCGGAAUCCUCUAACCGAGAUAUACCAUAAUCUACCCUUUCAGCCUGCAAUCUUGUAGAAAAAUCCCACCCUCCAACAGUAGCCACACACGAGCUACACGCGUCACCAAGGGUAUUUUCAUCAUUUCCAGGGAAGUUCAAGGCUAUUUCGAUCCUUUUCCUGUGCAGUGACACUCUGAUAAUUUUAGCGAAUUUUAUUUGUUUUUUAUACAUGGUUCUGUAUUUUGUUUUGCAUUUUGUAAAAUAU
rnacentral:lncRNA from 1 species